rnacentral:rRNA from 1 species
CACGUAGGCACCAAGCGUUGUCCGGAUUUAUUGGGCGUAAAGCGCGCGUAGGCGGCCCUGUAAGUCCGUUGUGAAAGUCAAAGGCUCAACCUUUGAAAGCCGAUGGAUACUGCAGGGCUAGAGUCCGGAAGAGGCGAGUGGAAUUCCUGGUGUAGCGGUGGAAUGCGCAGAUAUCAGGAGGAACACCAAUAGCGAAGGCAGCUCGCUGGGACGGUACUGACGCUAAGGCGCGAAAGCGUGGGGAGCGAACAGG